CAGUCGCCACGGUAAUACGAAGGGUGCAAGCGUUACUCGGAAUUACUGGGCGUAAAGCGUGCGUAGGUGGUGGUUUAAGUCCGUUGUGAAAGCCCUGGGCUCAACCUGGGAAUUGCAGUGGAUACUGGGUCACUAGAGCGUGGUAGAGGAUAGUGGAAUUUCCGGUGUAGCAGUGAAAUGCGUAGAGAUCGGAAGGAACAUCUGUGGCGAAGGCGACUAUCUGGGCCAACACUGACACUGAGGCACGAAAGCGUGGGGAGCAAACAGGAUUAGAUACCCCCGUAGUCCCUGUCUCUUAUAC
rnacentral:rRNA from 1 species